GGGUUGUGAGGUUAAGCGACUAAGCGUACACGGUGGAUGCCCUGGCAGUCAGAGGCGAUGAAGGACGUGCUAAUCUGCGAUAAGCGUCGGUAAGGUGAUAUGAACCGUUAUAACCGGCGAUUUCCGAAUGGGGAAACCCAGUGUGAUUCGACACACUAUCAUUAACUGAAUCCAUAGGUUAAUGAGGCGAACCGGGGGAACUGAAACAUCUAAGUACCCCGAGGAAAAGAAAUCAACCGAGAUUCCCCCAGUAGCGGCGAGCGAACGGGGAGCAGCCCAGAGCCUGAAUCAGUGUGUGUGUUAGUGGAAGCGUCUGGAAAGGCGCGCGAUACAGGGUGACAGCCCCGUACACAAAAAUGCACAUGCUGUGAGCUCGAUGAGUAGGGCGGGACACGUGGUAUCCUGUCUGAAUAUGGGGGGACCAUCCUCCAAGGCUAAAUACUCCUGACUGACCGAUAGUGAACCAGUACCGUGAGGGAAAGGCGAAAAGAACCCCGGCGAGGGGAGUGAAAAAGAACCUGAAACCGUGUACGUACAAGCAGUGGGAGCACGCUUAGGCGUGUGACUGCGUACCUUUUGUAUAAUGGGUCAGCGACUUAUAUUCUGUAGCAAGGUUAACCGAAUAGGGGAGCCGAAGGGAAACCGAGUCUUAACUGGGCGUUAAGUUGCAGGGUAUAGACCCGAAACCCGGUGAUCUAGCCAUGGGCAGGUUGAAGGUUGGGUAACACUAACUGGAGGACCGAACCGACUAAUGUUGAAAAAUUAGCGGAUGACUUGUGGCUGGGGGUGAAAGGCCAAUCAAACCGGGAGAUAGCUGGUUCUCCCCGAAAGCUAUUUAGGUAGCGCCUCGUGAAUUCAUCUCCGGGGGUAGAGCACUGUUUCGGCAAGGGGGUCAUCCCGACUUACCAACCCGAUGCAAACUGCGAAUACCGGAGAAUGUUAUCACGGGAGACACACGGCGGGUGCUAACGUCCGUCGUGAAGAGGGAAACAACCCAGACCGCCAGCUAAGGUCCCAAAGUCAUGGUUAAGUGGGAAACGAUGUGGGAAGGCCCAGACAGCCAGGAUGUUGGCUUAGAAGCAGCCAUCAUUUAAAGAAAGCGUAAUAGCUCACUGGUCGAGUCGGCCUGCGCGGAAGAUGUAACGGGGCUAAACCAUGCACCGAAGCUGCGGCAGCGACGCUGAUGCGUUGUUGGGUAGGGGAGCGUUCUGUAAGCCUGCGAAGGUGUGCUGUGAGGCAUGCUGGAGGUAUCAGAAGUGCGAAUGCUGACAUAAGUAACGAUAAAGCGGGUGAAAAGCCCGCUCGCCGGAAGACCAAGGGUUCCUGUCCAACGUUAAUCGGGGCAGGGUGAGUCGACCCCUAAGGCGAGGCCGAAAGGCGUAGUCGAUGGGAAACAGGUUAAUAUUCCUGUACUUGGUGUUACUGCGAAGGGGGGACGGAGAAGGCUAUGUUGGCCGGGCGACGGUUGUCCCGGUUUAAGCGUGUAGGCUGGUUUUCCAGGCAAAUCCGGAAAAUCAAGGCUGAGGCGUGAUGACGAGGCACUACGGUGCUGAAGCAACAAAUGCCCUGCUUCCAGGAAAAGCCUCUAAGCAUCAGGUAACAUCAAAUCGUACCCCAAACCGACACAGGUGGUCAGGUAGAGAAUACCAAGGCGCUUGAGAGAACUCGGGUGAAGGAACUAGGCAAAAUGGUGCCGUAACUUCGGGAGAAGGCACGCUGAUAUGUAGGUGAAGUCCCUCGCGGAUGGAGCUGAAAUCAGUCGAAGAUACCAGCUGGCUGCAACUGUUUAUUAAAAACACAGCACUGUGCAAACACGAAAGUGGACGUAUACGGUGUGACGCCUGCCCGGUGCCGGAAGGUUAAUUGAUGGGGUUAGCGCAAGCGAAGCUCUUGAUCGAAGCCCCGGUAAACGGCGGCCGUAACUAUAACGGUCCUAAGGUAGCGAAAUUCCUUGUCGGGUAAGUUCCGACCUGCACGAAUGGCGUAAUGAUGGCCAGGCUGUCUCCACCCGAGACUCAGUGAAAUUGAACUCGCUGUGAAGAUGCAGUGUACCCGCGGCAAGACGGAAAGACCCCGUGAACCUUUACUAUAGCUUGACACUGAACAUUGAGCCUUGAUGUGUAGGAUAGGUGGGAGGCUUUGAAGUGUGGACGCCAGUCUGCAUGGAGCCGACCUUGAAAUACCACCCUUUAAUGUUUGAUGUUCUAACGUUGACCCGUAAUCCGGGUUGCGGACAGUGUCUGGUGGGUAGUUUGACUGGGGCGGUCUCCUCCUAAAGAGUAACGGAGGAGCACGAAGGUUGGCUAAUCCUGGUCGGACAUCAGGAGGUUAGUGCAAUGGCAUAAGCCAGCUUGACUGCGAGCGUGACGGCGCGAGCAGGUGCGAAAGCAGGUCAUAGUGAUCCGGUGGUUCUGAAUGGAAGGGCCAUCGCUCAACGGAUAAAAGGUACUCCGGGGAUAACAGGCUGAUACCGCCCAAGAGUUCAUAUCGACGGCGGUGUUUGGCACCUCGAUGUCGGCUCAUCACAUCCUGGGGCUGAAGUAGGUCCCAAGGGUAUGGCUGUUCGCCAUUUAAAGUGGUACGCGAGCUGGGUUUAGAACGUCGUGAGACAGUUCGGUCCCUAUCUGCCGUGGGCGCUGGAGAACUGAGGGGGGCUGCUCCUAGUACGAGAGGACCGGAGUGGACGCAUCACUGGUGUUCGGGUUGUCAUGCCAAUGGCACUGCCCGGUAGCUAAAUGCGGAAGAGAUAAGUGCUGAAAGCAUCUAAGCACGAAACUUGCCCCGAGAUGAGUUCUCCCUGACUCCUUGAGAGUCCUGAAGGAACGUUGAAGACGACGACGUUGAUAGGCCGGGUGUGUAAGCGCAGCGAUGCGUUGAGCUAACCGGUACUAAUGAACCGUGAGGCUUAACCUUACAACGCCGAAGCUGUU
rnacentral:rRNA from 3 species